rnacentral:rRNA from 1 species
AGUGAACGCUGGCGGUAGGCCUAACACAUGCAAGUCGAACGGCAGCACAGUAAGAGCUUGCUCUUACGGGUGGCGAGUGGCGGACGGGUGAGGAAUACAUCGGAAUCUACUUUUUCGUGGGGGAUAACGUAGGGAAACUUACGCUAAUACCGCAUACGACCUACGGGUGAAAGCAGGGGAUCUUCGGACCUUGCGCGAUUGAAUGAGCCGAUGUCGGAUUAGCUAGUUGGCGGGGUAAAGGCCCACCAAGGCGACGAUCCGUAGCUGGUCUGAGAGGAUGAUCAGCCACACUGGAACUGAGACACGGUCCAGACUCCUACGGGAGGCAGAAGUGGGGAAUAUUGGACAAUGGGCGCAAGCCUGAUCCAGCCAUACCGCGUGGGUGAAGAAGGCCUUCGGGUUGUAAAGCCCUUUUGUUGGGAAAGAAAAGCAGCAGGUUAAUACCCCGCUGUUCUGACGGUACCCAAAGAAUAAGCACCGGCGAACUUCGU